UACGAAGGGGGCUAGCGUUGUUCGGAAUUACUGGGCGUAAAGGGCGCGUAGGCGGUGUGUCAAGUCAGGCGUGAAAGCCCCGGGCUCAGCCUGGGAACAGCGCUUGAGACUGGCACGCUCGAGUUCGGGAGAGGAUGGUGGAAUUCCCAGUGUAGAGGUGAAAUUCGUAGAGAUCUGGAGGAACACCGAUGGCGAAGGCAACCACCUGGGCCUGUACUGACGCUGAGGUACGAAAGCGUGGGGAGCAAACAGG
rnacentral:rRNA from 1 species